rnacentral:rRNA from 1 species
UACGGAGGAUGCAAGCGUUAUCCGGGAUUUAUUGGGUUUAAAGGGUGCGCAGGUUGUUUGAUAAGUCAGUGGUGAAAGUCUGUCGCUUAACGAUAGGAUUGCCAUUGAUACUGUUGGACUUGAAUAUGGAUGAGGUAGGCGGAAUGUGUAGUGUAGCGGUGAAAUGCAUAGAUAUUACACAGAACACCGAUUGCGAAGGCAGCUUACUAAUCCAUCAUUGACGCUGAGGCACGAAAGCGUGGGGAUCAAA